UAAAGGCCUACCAAGCCUGCGAUCUGUAGCUGGUCUGAGAGGGCGACCAGCCACACUGGGACUGAGACACGGCCCAGACUCCUACGGGAGGCAGCAGUGGGGAAUUUUGGACAAUGGGGGAAACCCUGAUCCAGCCAUGCCGCGUGCGGGAAGAAGGCCUUCGGGUUGUAAACCGCUUUUGUCAGGGAAGAAAAGGCGCAGUCUAAUACAUUGCGGCCAUGACGGUACCUGAAGAAUAAGCACCGGCUAACUACGUGCCAGCAGCCGCGGUAAUACGUAGGGUGCGAGCGUUAAUCGGAAUUACUGGGCGUAAAGCGUGCGUAGGCGGUUAUGCAAGACAGAUGUGAAAUCCCCGAGCUCAACUUGGGAACGGCAUUUGUGACUGCAUGGCUUGAGUGCGGCAGAGGGGGAUGGAAUUCCGCGUGUAGCAGUGAAAUGCGUAGAUAUGCGGAGGAACACCGAUGGCGAAGGC
rnacentral:rRNA from 1 species